UGCUACGUCAUGUGGAAUGGCGUUGCUCAUUUGAAGACGGUGGUUUCGUCGAAGUUCUUUUUUUUUUCUUGAGUGUUUGUUCAAAGUGUGGCGUGCUCUUCACUUGAAAUUUUGCGUGACCUAGCGCAUGGCAUUCAUCGGCGAAAGAUACACGCUUCUGCCUUGUUCGGAGACAGCUUGGCCGCACGGCUUUGUCCCAAGCCUCUCCUGCUUGCAACAGGAGGUCGGCACGUGCCCAUGAUUCCACUGGAGGGCAGACCCGCCGGCGAAGGGGUAAAGGGAGUGCAUCUUCUGUAGAUACAAAGCUUGUCCUCUUCCCAUUCCCGCUACUUCAGCCUUUAGACUAAAGCUAUCUACAGUAAUUAUGGACCCUCUACGUGGACCAGUUUCAUCUUGAGGGACGAAAUGGCGCUUUCAUCGGCGCGCCCUACUUUGCCAUAGCCAACGCGCACCAAUGCGAAACCAUUACCACUACUGUCUUGCUACCGAGCGAUAAGCUGUCGAAAAUGCAACUGGGUAUUCGCUAACGCACUGUGUUCUAUGCGCACUGCAAAAAGUUAAGUGGUAUAGGAAAGGCGUGUGCAGCAGUUGGCUGCAAAAAAUAGUGAAUGGCAUAAUAAUAAAUUGAAUGAA